GUAGGUGGCAAGCGUUGUCCGGAAUUAUUGGGCGUAAAGCGCGCGCAGGCGGUUCUUUAAGUCUGAUGUGAAAGCCCACGGGCUCAACCGUGGAGGGUCAUUGGAAACUGGAGAACUUGAGUACAGAAGAGGAAAGCGGAAUUCCACGUGUAGCGGUGAAAUGCGUAGAGAUGUGGAGGAACACCAGUGGCGAAGGCGGUCUUUCUGGUCUGUAACUGACGCUGAGGCGACGAAAGCGGUGGGGAGACAAACGAGGUAUUAGACUACCCUGGUACGUCCACGACCGUAAACGAUGAGUGACUAAGUGUUAGGGGUUUCCGCCCCUUAGUGCUGCAGCUAACGCAUUAAGCACUCCGCCUGGGGAGUACGGCCGCAAAGGCUG
rnacentral:rRNA from 1 species